GGGUCCGAUCAUACCAGCGUUAAUGCAACGGAUCCCAUCAGAACUCCAUAGUUAAGCGCGCUUGGGCCAGAGUAGUACUGGGAUGGGUGACGUCCCGGGAAGCCCCGGUGUUGCACCCU
rnacentral:rRNA from 1 species